GAUGAACGCUGGCGGCGUGCUUAACACAUGCAAGUCGAGCGAAGCACUUAAGUUCGAUUCUUCGGAUGAGGACUUUUGUGACUGAGCGGCGGACGGGUGAGUAACGCGUGGGUAACCUGCCUCAUACAGGGGGAUAACAGUUAGAAAUGGCUGCUAAUACCGCAUAAGACCACAGUACUGCAUGGUACAGUGGUAAAAACUCCGGUGGUAUGAGAUGGACCCGCGUCUGAUUAGGUAGUUGGUGAGGUAACGGCCCACCAAGCCGACGAUCAGUAGCCGACCUGAGAGGGUGGCCGGCCACAUUGGGACUGAGACACGGCCCAGACUCCUACGGGAGGCAGCAGUGGGGAAUAUUGCACAAUGGGCGAAAGCCUGAUGCAGCGACGCCGCGUGAAGGAUGAAGUAUUUCGGUAUGUAAACUUCUAUCAGCAGGGAAGAAAAUGACGGUACCUGACUAAGAAGCCCCGGCUAACUACGUGCCAGCCGCCGCCGUAA
rnacentral:rRNA from 1 species